rnacentral:lncRNA from 1 species
GGCGGGGCGGGGCGAGCGGGGGGCGGGGCGCCUGGCGGCCCCGGCUCUGGAGCAUCGGGGAGUGGGGCCUCUUUCCCCGCAGGGAGUUGGGAUGGGGGUUGCAGGAAGACGAUGCGGGACCCCAUCCCCCAGGAGUGGGUCGAAGUCACGGGUGUCACAGACGCCAGGGAUUGCUAAAAGUCCUCCAGUGGAAACAGAAGGCAAACUGCACGGCUUCUCCCUGUCCUGUUCAAACGCAGAAGCAAAUGUCACACUUUUCUGCUUCAGGAGAUACCUAAAAUUCAUGUGGCCAUUGCAGGAAAUCACUGAACCCCAGACAGAUCUGCAAGCGGAGAAUUCAGACCUCCAAGUGGAUAGAGUUAUUACAUUUUUCCUCACACCUGCUGUCUUUCAAUCUAAGACCUCUUCCUCUUGAAAAUUCUUAAUUUUGUGCCACGCCAGCACCCUCUGCUGGUACUAGUGUCGUCAUUCAGGUGGUUUCUGUGCCCCUGGAGUUGCGUUCUUUCCUGAAACUAACUUCUCUUACCUUAAAUCCUGGACUAGUGGAUAGUGCUCUUCAUUGCCUUCCAUCAAGACACACACACAAAUGAAGCAAGAUGAAGUGUAAAAAGGUUGUGAGUUAAUUAAAAUCACAUUUCAGUUUAUUGUACUUUUGCCUGAGCAACCCCUUUGUUUGUGUAUUUCAUAUUAUUUUGAAAUAUAGGAUAAUUAAAAGUGGUUUUAUUUUCUGGAUGCUGGUUACUGCAUGUUUCAGAUAAUUUUCCUUGCUAAAAGUAUUCUCUUAGUCUUUAAUCUUUAAAAUGCAUAUUAUGGCAGAGACAAUACAAGAUCCUUUCAUUUUUUCCAGGCUAAAAAGGAAAACUAUAAUCUUCCAGCACCUUAGCUUAUAGGCAGAGCAACAUGAUUAAUGCUGGGGAAAAAGCAUAUUGAUUUGCAUGUCCUGGUCCCAAAACAUCCAUGUACUAAGUGCCAUGAAAGUGUUAACUAUUAUUACUGUUACCACGCUCAGAGAAAUGGGUCUUUUCUGUAGAUUCCGAAAGCUGAUCUGGUACUUUACUGACAGCUUUUCAACCAUCUGCAAGAUCCCCCAAAUACUCAACUAAAAAGUCCAACCAAUGUAUUACCCUGUCACAUUAGCAAAAGUGAUUAAAAUAAUAUUGCCUCUAUGUUUAAAUGAAAGCUAAAAAUCCAGGCUUUUAUUUUAUAUUAUUCCCAACUUACAGAAUAUCAAAUCUUCAUCCUGACCCACCUCAUUUCCUUUUUUGAUAGAGUCCUUAUAUUGACA